CUUUUUAGCUUACUUAAGAGCACUUUACUGAAGAUAAAGAGGUCUAAAUA
rnacentral:tRNA from 1 species